rnacentral:lncRNA from 1 species
CAAGUGGUACCAGCAACCAAACUAUUGACAUAACCUGAAAAAGAUUAGGCACAACAAGGCUGAGCAACUAGUACUCAGCAAGACUGACCGGUCGGAAAGACACGACCGAGACCUAGACAUGCAAGGCUUUCUGGCUCUGGGGUUUUCUUACCAAAAGUGUCUAAAGUCAGUCCUUACUUUCAACAUUUUAGCUCAUGUUCUAUGUUCUUUAACCAGUCUAGAUUAGCAACUUAUACUAAAC